rnacentral:lncRNA from 1 species
CAGGUACGAAACUAAAGUUGACUUAUAAAGCAACUAAAGGCGACAGAGAGCAUGUGAUCUGGUUCCCGGAUGGACAACUAUUUUACAUCCAGAUCAGCAUCACACCUCAUAGUUCUUCUUGGUUAGCCUCUCAAGGAACGGAGACUUCUCCAGCUGUUCUUUGCUGCUUCCCGUGAUGUAGAAGAUGUCUUUCUGCCCUGACUUCAUCCUUGAAAUGUACUCGUCAAGAGAGGCAAGUUUGCCAUCUGACUUGGUACUGAAACAAACAAACAAAAACAAGGUCAGCUUUAUUUUGCCUACUACAUAUAAUUAAACUCAUAAUGAAUGGAAAACAGCACUGAAGGAUGAACCUUUCAAAUCUAAGAAGCUUGGCAAGGCGGUUCCUGUUAGUUGCAUCUUCGAUGAUGCCCAGCUUGAUCGAUUUGCCAAACUCAUUCCAGAACUUGGCAUACUGGCCCUUCUUCUCCUCCAUUUCACUUUUCUCUUCAUCUGAUUACAGAAAUAUUUUUAUGAGUACUACAAUAGUAAAUACAGAGUAUGUGACAUGGCCAUUUAUUACAGCAAAGACUCAUUACCUGUCUUAUCUUUGUUGCUGUACUCAUCAGGAUCUUCUUCAGCAAUUUUCCUAAUCAUGUCAAGAGCUUUGCGGAUCAGUUUCUUCUUGAUGGUCUUCAGACUGCUAUGUUGUUGAAGCAUUUCUCGUGAUACAUUUAGGGGCAGUGUGUCUGAAUCAACAAUACCCUAGAGAGAAAAGCACUAUAAGAUUUAGUCUGCUAUGUCAAUGAAUUGAAUACGACAGGUUUUUCUAUACAGUAAUACAAUACCUUCAAAAAGUUGAGAUACUUCGGAAGGAGGUCAUCAAAUUCAUCAGAGAUAAAAACUCUUCUAACAUACAACUUGAGGUUUGACUUGUUAUUGUUGUAGUAACUCUCAUACAGAUCAUGUGGAGCCUUCGGAGGAACAAAUAGCAAAGCUUUGAACUCAACAUCUCCCUCAGCAGUGAAGUGGCUCCAUGCCAUAGGCUUGUCAUCACCGAAGUCCUACAAAAAAAUAAGAUGGUGAAUUCAUACAGGGUUUCCUCGACAAGGCGCAACCACUAAGCUUUCUUGAAAUUUGUUUGAACCAAUCAACUCAUUGUUACAGUCUUUACCUUAGCCAGUGAGUGGUAAAACUUUGAGUAUUCUUCAUCAGUAACCUCCUUGGGGCUACGAAGCCAUACAGCCUUCACAUCAUUCAGAAGCUCCCACUCAGAAGUAGUCUCCUUUAUUGUCUUUGUCUUGGGCUUCUUCUCUUCACCUUCCUCUGUCUCUUCCUCAUCUGUGGUUUCUGGGGCUGUUAAGACACAUGCUGCAUUAGCACUUACACAUAACAUGGCUACCAUCAAAGAGAAAAAACAUUAACUAAAGACUUACUCGACUCCUCGUCUUCACUUGUUUCCUCCUCGUCAGCUGGCACUUCAACAUCAACCUCCUUGGUUGACCACAGAUAAAUGGGGAAGUUGAUGAACUCAGAGUACCUCUUCACCAAAUCCUGCAAAACAGAAUAUUCAAGUUAAACACUUGUAAUAACAUAUCGAAAAAUUGCCUUAUAAAGUCUAGAACAGAUUUGCUUCAUCUUAUAAUGCAUGCAGCCCAGCUAGUAAACAGGGAAAAAAGAAAAAUAUAUUUCACUUGCCCUCACACAGUAACACGAAAAGUAUCCUGUGAUUGGUGAAUGUGCUUCAUUGAAUCAGUGCGCUAUAAAGAUGAAACAACAGACCACUGUGAAACCAUGACUUUGCAAAAAGUGUGAUUGAAAUUCCUAGUUAGCAACAUCAAUAUCUGAUACAAAAUAAUAUCAACCAAACUAUUACAAGAGUAGCAUGUCAUUCAUGUCCAACUAAUAAAAGAUGCUGAUUCAUACUACACAACAAACUUGGUUCACAUCAUGUAUUUGCAGAAGAAGCCAAUUAACGCCAACAAAAGUUGUAAUACCUUUAGCUUGUCCUCUUCCAAGUACUCCUUGGCCUCAUCUCGCAGAUGGAGUCUUAUCUCAGUUCCACGGCCAAGGGGUUCAUUCCAUGUAUCCUCGGAUAUAGCGAAUGAUCCAUCAGCCUUUGACUCCCACACAUACCUAUACAAGUACAACACCAUAACAGCUUUAAGAAAAUUGCAUAAAAAAAGCAAGAGAUGUACCAAAAACAAUAUACAACGGCAUGUCUUACUGUUUGUCAUCGUUGUGCUUGCUAACCACUUCAACAUAGUCAGCAACCAAGUACACAGAAUAGAAACCAACACCAAACUGCCCAAUCAGAUUGAGGUCACCUCCAGACUGCAUCUUUUCCACAAAAGCUGCAAGCGUUGCAAGCAAUUAACACUUUUUCCUAUGGGAAAGAAUUAACAUUUUCCAAGAGGAUAAUCCAAGCAUAUUUGUCAAGACUUGGAGUGCAGUUAUCAGUAGAAUAGACAAAAAAGCAGUACCUGAAGUCCCAGAUUUAGCUAUGGUUCCAAGGUUCUUAAUCAGAUCUUCCUUGGUCAUACCAAUACCCCUAUCCCGAAUUGAGAGGAUCUUCUUCUCUUUGUCCAACUUAGGCCCCGUUUGGUAGAGCUUCGGCUUCUCAUAAAACGGCUUCGGCUUCGGCUUUUUCGGUGGAGUGGCUUUUUUAGUGAAGCUGAAGCCGUUUUGCAAAACAUUUGGUAAAACGGCUUCUCAAUGGCAAUAUAUGUAAUUUUAUGAUCACUUAAUGCUUGGAGAGGGAGGAGAAGCCGGUGAAGCCACUUUUUUCGGCUUCUCCUCUCUAGUGUAAGCCGUUUUGCGGCUUCUCCCCAGCUUUGGUGGUGAAGCCGUUUUGAAAUUGACCCUUUGGUAGGGCUUCACCAAAAGCCAGUGGAGAAGCACUUUGAGAAGCCCUACCAAACGGGACCUUAAUCUACAUGUGCACAGACCAGAGGCCUUAAUAAUGAAUUCUACAGCAAGACAUGACCCAAGAGAAAAAUAGGCUUUCAAAGUUGCAGUAUACUGUACCUGGAUUUCAAGCUUAGCAGUGGCACCUUCACCCAGAACCUCCUUAUCAGUGAGGGAAAGGAAUCUAAUCUUAUCCAAGGCCUACAAACAUGCAGAUACUAAAGUUAAUUUCGAAUAUCCACAAUGAAGCAUAAACACGGGCCAAAUGCAAUACAUACAUCAGAGGCAUUGGAUAUGAGCUCCCUCAGGAAGAUGUCCUUGUUGCUGUAGAGUGAGUUGAUGAUGAUGUCCAUGAGUCUGGACACCUCAGCUUGGAACUCAAACUUUUCAGCCGAGCUCCUGAUAGUCUUCCUAGAGGCGGCGGCGAAGGCAGACGCCGAGGCAGGGGGAUCGAUUGGAGGCUGUGCAGCGUCUUCGUGAUGCGUUUCCUACUCGGAAUCGGAAUCGUCCGCACCGGCCCAGAGCACAAUUCCUGAGUCGGGCCAAAACUCAUUACGGCCCACCUCUAACACCUUUCUUCUUUUGGGCUCUCCCGCCGGUUGGCACUGCAGCCCACCACCAGCACUAACUGUUGUACGGGCCGGGUCCAGUAACCAAUCCGGUCCCGCGUGUGUGCGGUUGUUUCUGGUGAGGUGAGCGCCUGAGCCCAGAAGAAGUCCAGCACCAUGUCGUGUGGAGGCCCGGCCCGGCGGGAGGCACGCACAGCCUGCAAAAAGACGCUGCACAGCCUCCAAUCGAUCCCCCUGCCUCGGCGUCUGCCUUCGCCGCCGCCUCCAAUCAAUCCCCGCCGCCUCCAAUCAAUCCCCCCGCCUCGGCGUCUGCCGCCGCCGCCGCCACGGCCACCGCCCACGCCCACGCCCACGCCCAACUCACUCCUAUGGAGAGUCACCGCCGCACCAUCUUCGACCAAUAGGUGCGUACCUGCGGUUCCUUCUUCUCUGUUGCCCUUUGUUGUCCUCGAUUCGGAUUUGGAUACUUGGAUUUGUCGGUUUGGGUUGCAAUAAAAGAUUGUGCCUGAUAGAGUUCUGUUUGGUAAUCGAUUGUUACGAUUCAAAAUCGCAGGGAUCAAUCUCAACGCCAACCUCUGUCAGAUCUAGUUUGCGCCGGUUGGUGAGGAGAGGACAAGAAGGCGACGAUCGAGCAAGGAACAAGAACGAGAUGCAAUCGCUAAAGCGCCGGCGCGGUGAUGGUGACAGCCUCCACGCGGCAAAGCGUCUGGAGGAGCGCCGCCUCUACCUCAUCUUUGAUGACUGGCCGUGGGGAUACAGCAUCCGCGAGAUAGACUUGCGCGUCUCCACCAGUCAGAAGUCAUCACAGAACGGCGCCGCCGCCUCAGGCAACGGCGCCGCCGCCGCCUCCAGCGAAGGCGCUGACCGGCACUUGCCUCAGCCUAUCAUCUGCUUGGAGGCACCGCGGGGGUUACCCUUGUUCUUCGCCGCCGUUGGCACCAGGAUCGUGGCGACGCAUCCCAGAGAUCCCUGGGACGAUGACUCGGUGUCCGGUGACUUCAUGCCCAUCGUCGACGUCCGCUCGCGGGGCGUCACCUUUGGCCCUAGCCAGACGCAUCUCGAUAUUCCCAUCUACCUCCCUGUCCACAAUGGGUUGUUCGCUUUGGACAACUGCGCCGUCUCGAUGCUCUCCUUCGAGCCGCUCUGGCCCCCGCGGCUGGAAAUUCGUCGCAGUAGCAACGAUGGGUGGUCGUGGCGCGAACUCCCGGAGCCGCCAUUCGACAGGCUGGAUGUCACUGCCUACAUUGUGAGCCCUGAUGAGACGAUCAUGGUCAGCACCAACGAGGGCACCUUCACCUCGGACAUCGUGAAGAUCGACACGGAGGAGCUUGUUUGGAUGCCAUCUUGCAACCAGUGGACGCUGCCAUUCACCGGCCGCGGGUACUUUGUCAGCUGCCUGGGAACCAAUGUAGGGCUCUCCAAAGAUCCGGCCACCCUCGGCCACCUGGUGGGCGCCACCGACGGCGGUAAGCUGAAGCUUUGCAAGGAGAAGUUGUUCAGCCAGGACCCAGCUGAGACCCAUGUAGGUGCUACACUCCUCCAUAUGCAAGAUGGGAAUGGAGAUGGGAAUGAGUUUUGCCUUGUCCAGUGCGUCUCUGUUGAACAUGGCAACGAUGAUCAGGAGCUCAAGGAGGGUGGAGAGGAGGUGCCUAUUGAACAUGGCGACGAUGAUCAGGAGCUCAAGGAGGGUGGAAGUCGCUAUCUUUAUCGUUUGACAACGUUCUCUGUCAGCUAUGACAACAAUGGAGACCUGACGACCGGCGGGACUUGCAAGGUGCAAUGCUACAAGGUGCCUAAACAAACCACCGAGAGAUUCCUCAAUGUGGACCCUGUGGCAUUUUGGCUGUAAGAUGCUACAAUCAGGUCGUGAUAAGGAGUUAGUAUCUUUGAAUUUAACUCGGUUGUGACUCUUUUGCCUUAUAUGUUUUAAUGAUGUGUACACUCAACUGCAGUUCUGUUAAUGUAUUGCCUUCCUAUGUUUAAGUUGUGACAAUUUUUUUAGGAUGAGAUGCUUUCAUAUUUAUGUUCAACCAGAAUAAUCUCCAGGAUAUAUUGGACAGUGAAAUAAUAGAUGGUGAAGUUCUGGUAGUGCUUGAGAAACUAGGGGAACUUGUUAUGCACUGUCUGAGCCCAAAAGGAGAUGACAAGCCAACAAUAAAUGUAGUGGCAGAGCGACUACAGAUGUUGAGAAGACUCCAAAUGCAGCUACUCAGAGUAAAUUUGCGUUGGAGUUAGGACUUUUAGUCAUAAUAUAAUAUUCCUUGUUUGAGAACGGGAAUUCGAUAGAGAAUUGUAUAUAAUAUUCCUUGUUUGAGAACGGGAAUUCGAUAGAGAAUUGUUAUCCUUGUUUGGUUGGUGGUUUGGGGCGUGCGAAACAGUUAAGAUUUAUUAUCCUUCAAUUCCCAACCAGAUUGGUGCUAGUUAGUUGAACCCUAAAUUCAUAUUCUUCGCCCCACAAAAUUCCCAUUCUCAUCUGAUAAAAAGAUAUUUAUAGACUCUUAUCUCUAAACUCGCAUUCCCUCCCAACAAGUUUGCAUGGAGUAAAAUCGCACCCAACCAAACGCACCGCUUCUCGGACAAUUGAGCCAAUAUACACAAGUUUGUAUGGAUUAUCAGGUAUGCGCAGAAAACCAAUACAAUUUCCCUAACAGCAGCGAGAGUAAAAAUCUUUGCCAGCGUACUUUACAAGGGAGGGUGCGAUGGAGGUAGAGAUGCCUGCCAUUCUAACCAUAUUUACAAGGUCCAAAGAAAUGGAUUGCACACAUCCCAAACAAUCAACAAGGCUGCAAAACAGAAGCGAUCCUAUGGGGUUCUACCGCCUGAGAUUGCCUCCCAACUUCCCGCAUCACAUGACAGGAAAUCCUGAUACAGCAGUGAAUGGGCACCGGUCCAUCGCCUGUUGCCUGUUGCCUGUUGCGAUACAGAAAUGGACACGAGGGUUCCAGUUGCUAAGAAUAAGGAAGCUUGUUCAAAGCUUCCGCUGCUGAGUGAUGGCAGCUAUUUCUGCUGGGUGAUAGCAUCACUGCAGAACUUCUUGAAAUUUUGGCACUCAUCGGUCAGGAAGUCACUGCAAAAUGCGACAGGAUCUUAAAACUGGAUUCUCCAAAGGCAAACAUAGAUUGACUACAUGUAGACCAUAGACUUACUAGAUACGUUCCACCAUUUCUGCCUGAUCCCAUCUAGGACUCCAGGGAUAGUCAUUUAUCGGGGGCGACGUAAUAGGUGUCCCGUCAGCAUUACAGUGCUGCAGGUGAAUCAGGAAGGCAGCCGUCAUUCCACAGGUUCAAAACACGGAAUUUAGAGAGCAUACUUUGUAACCAUUAUAGAAAAGGACUAUACGACGAAAAAACCCCAUUAUUUUCUUAGUAGCAUCUAAGUAGUAUACCUAUGUGGCUCCGUGGCUCUUAUCACCAGAUUACUACUUAGGCUACUGGCAAUCAGAUAAAACUAUUCCAAACACCCAAGCAAAUUAUGUGACGAAAAAGGGUUUCAAUUUUCAAGGCCUGAAUAGCAUGUGCAGAGAAUUUUCCAUGAUAUGUCAAAACUACAUUUUUACUUCUUGAGUUCAUUUUCAGAACAACAAUCAAACAUAACCACAACGGGGGUGACAUGGAAUAGAAUAAAGCCUGAAACAGAUAAUGACUACAGUUACAAUAAAAGGGGAAAUGUUAAAAAAACAGUAUCUAGAAGUUUUGAAAAAUUCUGAGAAAAAUCAGAAGUAGAGGAGAGGGUGAAAUACAUGCAUAAAAAUUUUCAAGACCAAACUCAACUUCUUUUUAUGAGAUAUGAAAUUGAUAGAUCUACAAAGAAAGUGUGAAGAAAAAGACAGACAGUGUAUGUGCUCUGUUUUUGUUUUUUUGUUUCGCAGUUUGUAGAUUCCAUUCAUAUAACAAACUUGAGUUUGGUUUUAAAAUUUUAUAUGCAUGUAUGUCACCCUCUCCUUUUUUGGGGGGUGGGAGUGGGGAAUGGUUGCAAUUCCACCGAGAAGUUGGUUUGCACUAAAUAUUUUCCCACAAUAAAGUAAAAGGUGCUAGCUUCACUAGGCAAUUGUAUCAAAAUUCAAUUCUACUGCUCAAUCCUAUAUGCAGAAAGCACUACAACUUACAAAAAUGGGACCUAUGAUCAACCAUGUAAAUUACAAAUACGCCUAACUGGUGAGGAGUCAAAUAGUGACCUGAGAACUCUGCAAUGUGAGGACAGGUUGCUGCUUUGGGAAUUGAAGGGGGAUAGCAAAGUGAACCUGCAGCAUCACAAUGUGUUCCUUGUCACUUGUUAAUGAAUUGAUUCACAAUUAUAAGGCUAAAUGAAAGAAUAAAAAUGGAUGAUGCAAAUCAUUAAAAAAAUUUAUACAAAGUGUGACAUCAAACAGUUCAUAAUAUGCAGAGCCAAGUGGAAAUGAAGGAAACAUGCUCCACAAACAUACAGCUUUUUAAUUGUUUCAUCAUAAUAAUUGCGGGAAAUGCAUCAGCACCACCUCAUACAGCAUUGUGGUGGUGUUCCAUGAGAAUAAACAUUGUUCCCAGAUGUGUGACCUGUUUUUCUCUCAGAUGCCAGGUUUUGUAUUCUUUGAUUGUUUCUGCACUAAUCUGGUUGGCUUAAUGUGCUCACAAAUUUAACACAAUUUGUAUUCACUAUGUGCAAAGCAGAUGGGAGAACAUAAUAAAUGCAUUUUCCUUUUUUCUGACUAACGCCAUGGAAUAGAAAAGAACAAGAGGGCAUAGGUUCGUGUAUUCUCUGACAUACCAGAAAUGUGAAAAUUCCUGAAAUGGACAGUACUGUAGCUCUCUUGCAAAAAAUCUGAUGCGCAGAUGUAUCGUUAGGAAACUUGACUAAAUGCACAAUUAUGUAAGGAAAAAACAAUGCCAUAUAAUAUACCGGAUCAGCCUCUAUCGGUCUCCCAAAGGUAGGAGCCAGUGCCUCAAUAAAACGUCUUCUGGCACCAAUUGAAGCUGAUGCUUCAACAACCUUCAGUAUAAUUAACAAAGUUAAUGUAAGGAACAAAAAGAACCAUUAAAAUUAUGCAAAGAUAAUCCCCUACUUCAUGGGUUUUCAUGAUAUCGCAUAGCCAUCAGCUAAUUAACAACUAGGUGCCAAACCAUGAGAGGGUGGGAGGGGGAGAGAAGCUUAGGCAUAUCACCAGGCCACUGUCACUGUCCCUCCCUCUCUGUUUAACUAACUAAUAGAUGCUUUGCUAAAUGAAAAGUCCAUAGGUUUUGUACAACCAAGCACUUGAAGCAUUACAAAGGGUUGAGAUGCAAGUGGACAGAAAGGAAAAUAGUAGUACAAGACCUAUUGUUUUUUCCUGCUUCAUUUUUUCUUCUGUUUCAGUUUCCCUCACUUUUCGAAAGACUAGAGUCAGAUCCAAACUUGAAGACACAGAUUUUUAGCGCAACUGAAACAGUAAACCCACAGACAUUCUGCAAUCCCCAUCCCCCCAUGCCAUAUCUUAUAUGCAUGGAAUUGACAUGAAAAUUGCACAAAAAACUCCAAAACAACAACAGCAACAUGGCUUACCAGCAGGUUAAGACUUUCUUCUAAGGCAGGAAGAUACUCCGCUAAACACCUGCAUAUGAUAGACCAAGGAGAGCUAAUCAGUUAAAAGUCAUUUUUACUUCUUUUCGAGAAACGGUGUAAUAAAUGAGGACCAAGGACAUAACAAGCGUGUUAUGCAUCAAAACAUGGUAUGCGACAAGAUAACACAGAAGGCAGGAUAAUCUUCAUUUAGCGGUGUGGCAAGUUGACUUACAUCCCGUUUGACCAUGGAGGGAGUUUCACAUCCUCAACUGAGAAAAGUGAUUUCAAAUCUGGUGUUGAGAUUAGUUUGAGUCGUGGAGCAGAAGGAACAGAAGAGUAACUUGAACUUCUACUGAUUGGAAAAAUGACCUGCACAAGAAACAGGCAAUGUAUUUUUCAAGUGCACAAUGAAGCUCGUAUGUUCUAUUCGGUUGCCCAAACUAUAGACAGACAAAUGAAAAGAGAUGGCUAUAUAAAUGCAUCAGAUGUCUGCCACUAUCUGGAAAGUUCUGCUAGAGGUUUCUCAGUUUGUUUGCAUGCAAAAAUCAAAUAAAUACUUCUAAAUAAACAUAUGACUGAAAUCUCAACUAUCUAAAGAGAAUACAAAAAUGCAGCCAUGAAAUUGUUAUGUGUGAAAUCCUGUUUUUCUCAGUUUGUAGUGUGUUGUGGUUAAUGCUAUGGUGCUCUAGUCAAUCUUACAUGCAAAAGGUGGAAAAUUCAGUGUAACAUACAACAACAGUCCACCAAAAAUAUUCUGAAUCUGCCAGUAACAAUAAUAGAAUAAUCCUCAGGAUCCUACUCUGUGCACAUCUUGGUUGGAGAGCAUGCAGAUUAAGAUGUAGCAAGUACCUACUGCCAGAUAAAAUAUGGUCUAGAGGCCUUCUCUGGCAUUGCAAAAUUUACUCAUAAAAUCACAUUUCAACAGGGCCUGGCUAGCUGAGACUUUUCUGGUAUAAUAAUUAUCAAUGCUACCACUAUUACAAAAUGUUCAUUUCUGCAUCCAUGGAACCAGUGGCUUUAGAGAUUAACCUGUAGAUGGAUCUUUUGAGGUACUCUCCAAGGACAUCCUUGCACCAGUUUGGUAAAGUCGAAGUCUGCGUCCAGAAGUGGUACAGCAAAUUUCACCUCAUCUGGCUACAAAAUACAAGAAAUACAGGUUGAGAGUAGAUAUCAAUUUUCAUUGAAAAAAGAGGUUGUGGAAACUGGUAAACUUACCCUAUCGGCAGAAGGUACCAUGCAGACUUCAAUACCCUGUUCAAUUAUAGAGUUUCAACAAGUCAUUAUUCAUCGAACUUAUUCAAUAAUAAAAUUGUGCUAGUUGGAAGAGCAGUUAGUAAUAAGUUAGUAAAGCUGCUUAAACUUCAGCACAUACUUAAGAUCCUUUCUGUUUCUCACUCACUACUGAACCAUACCAUAUGAAGGCGGGUUUAAGAAUAAAAUCUAGACCUUACUUUUAGAUAUGUGGCGUAUUAAUCUAAAAUCUCAAUGCCACUUAAUCGGCAAGUGUGGAAAUGUGUUACCUCCUUAGAGAGAACUGUACUUAGUUCAAACGUUACUCUUGCAUCGUCCACCUUGGCGACCUGCUUCUUGUGGUAUUCAACGUACAAUUCCCUGCACCAAACAAAAUUAGAAUGAAACAUUAUCGAAAGAAAGUUUAGCACCAAAAGUACCAGGAGUAUCUCAACAUGAUUUCUUCACCAACAAGAACAUCUCAUGGUACCAAUUUCUUCCCAACCACAUGCCUACCUGACAAACUAUAGUUGAAAAACAAAACUGGACAAUGCCGUUUGUUAACAACGAAUAUUAUCACAUAGCAAGAGAAAUAUUAUCACAUAGCAAGAGAAAUCAGUUUGUUGUGCACAUAUAUCAUGCAAUAAGAGAAGAUCAAGUACAUGAAGAACAGAAAAGGAAUCCAUUUAUAUACCUUCAUCACAAAAAAAAUCUCUCUUAGCAGAAGCCAUCAGAUAACAUGUCUAUGUACCAUUAGCAAACUGAUGAAGAAAAUUUUUUCCAGAGUUAGAUACUAAGUAGAUUACACAUUCAUCGCAAUUUAGAAUCAAUAAACCUGACACAGGCUCCAUUUCAUGCACAAGAGUGUUGAGAAAGCAAGGUCUUAAUAUUAUUGCUUCACACAAACAGGAUUGAUAGCAAAAGCAUCAGGAAAAAAGCUAAGUAUAAAACAGCCAAAAAUCGUCUAAUAGAAAAGAUUGGUUCAGACCCCUCUUACUUACAACACAGUCCCAUUUACUAACAUUGGCAUGUCUUAAGGUACAAUCUGGUCAUUCACCAUAUGUAAAUAGACAUCAACAUAUCCUUAGCUGAUAUCGUCCCUACAAGAAAGUGGAAUAUGAAGGUAAUUGGACUCACACUCUCACAGGCUUGCCGAUAUCCUUAGCCUCUGGGCUGCACAGAAAAUGAUAUUGGAGACAGGUAAGGGGAGCUUCAUGUUAUAUCAUCAGACACUGUUAAUUAAGUUAUAUAUGCACGUAAUAUAUACUGUUGAGAAUAAUCCAGACCAUAAUAUCGUUGCUUCACACAAACAUGAAUAACAGUAGUGAAGUACAUAACAGCAACAAGAACAAAAGGUAAAUACAAAACAGACAGGAAGCACAGAAUAUAGAGAAGGAUAAUUCAGAUAUUGGCUAUCCUCUCUUCCUCGAGCAGUUGAGCUCAGUCCCCUUCACUCAGAUUGGCAUGCCUUUGGGAAAAUCUGGUUCUUUAACAACAUGUAAAUAGGCACAGAACACAGUACGCAGCAUUUAUCGUUCCAAUGAGGAUGCGAAGGAGGACGGUGCUCGGAUUCACCGGUUUGCUGACAUCCUCAGCCUUUGAACCAAGCUGCAUAAAAAUUAGAAUGGAAAACUUAUGCUAGAAACCCUCGAUGAAAUGAACAAUCUAAAAAAUCAAAUGAGGUACGCCAAAUAUUCACUGAGAUAUGUAACAGUGAAUCCAUUAGCAAAAAUGAGAAGUAUACCUCCAAAGGAGAGUGUCCACAUUCUCUCUUCACCUGUGACAGAGCAUCCCAUAAUGAGGCCAUGCCUUCGGCAACCAUGGUACCACUUUGAUCCAAUUCUUUUCAGCCUGACAUAGUGACAUCCUUGAACCCAGCCUUCUUGAACCACUCGAUGUACCUUCCUUGGGGAAGAGCAACCACAUAUCAACGAAGCAGCAGGACAGCCAGAAGGUUGGGUACAUGGGGCCAAUCUCACAAGCUAGCCCACCAAACCUCAGGACCCUGUACGCUUCCUUGAUUCCUCUCCGCAGCUCAGCCCAAUACUCAAUGCUGCAAUGUAUGUGACAGAUCACGAAAAUCAGCAAUCUCUACUUGACUAGUUAAGAACAGAAUGUGCAAUCAUCACAAUACCAAUUACUUGCAACUGAUUCACAAUAUGUACAGUAGUGAAGAGAAGUGAAGUGGAUCAAGCAAGAGCGUCAGUGACCUGCUGGCGAAGAUGUGUCGGUCGAAGGUGUCAGUGGGGAUGGGCAGGUCCUCGGCAUCGCCCUCCAUGAUGGUGACCCCCUUGAGCGCCUCUUGCUGGUAGGACUUCUCGAGCUAGUGCGGGGACUGGUCGAGCAGCGUUACGUUCUCCAACUGACAAGAACACUCAACUACUUUAUAAAGAAGAUGGAUGGUAUUUUGUGGGGACACUGAAACACCUACUUUUACUCGCGAGAAAGAUAGGUUUACAAAUAUGCUCAAUAUCAUCUAUCUGUUGCAGUCAAUGUUCUAAUUUGACUUGAACAAUCUUGUGGGUUGUAUGGUUGAUGCCAAAUCAACAGAUCAUGCUUGUGCUAUGCUAUCUGAAAAAUAUCAUUGAAUCUUUGGACCCAUAAAAAGCGGAAUUUGUGCUUGUGGAAAUUCUCAAGCGAGCGUAGCUGCCGCUGAACUGAAAGAUUCCCUGCCAUGUGCAAUUAUUAGUUCGUGACUAAAAAAUAGGAUUUUUAAAAAAAGUAGUAAAUAGGAAACUUUAAGAAAUGGCGUUUUCUGCCUUUCUACAUCUUCCUGUCAGUAUUCAGAAAAAUCUGUCCAUAUGCUGUGAAUUGUGGAUCCAUAAAAGUUCCCUGGUUUAAAUGUGAAUCCAAAAACAAAUAAAAAAUGAGCAGCACGAAGGGGAAAACAGCUGUAUAGGCAGUAUAGCCUAAAGAAGGAACUAAAGAAACUAAGGGAAAACAGCAGAGCAGCACAUUUGAAGUAAAUCAUAUAUAAUAAUACAAUAGAACACAAAAAUCAGCAGCAACUCUGCAGAGAAGAUGGCUCUCAUGAUCUACCUAGCAUUUAAUUGGAAAAAUGGCGCACAAAGAAGCAUUAAGAACUCAAAGCAUUCAAAGAUGGAAAAAUGAUUGCUCUCAUCAUAUGUACUCAAAGCAUUUAAUUAGAAAAUGGUGAACUCCAGGUCAAAUUCUACAAUCAGCACAUACUGUUCUGCCUAAACCACAUCUUUAGAUUAUCAUGAACGUAUAUCAGAAAAGGAACAAUCCUGAAACCACGCACAUAUAACAGCAACACCGUCAAUGAUCGAAACUGCUCACCGCCACAGGAACCCAAGGCUGCUAGCGUGCUCCUUGCCCCACCAAACAACAUAUUUUAAAUCACAUAUCAGAAGCAAAUAAACAACUAAUAUGACCUCCUAGCUCCAACAAACAAUAUUAUUUUAUGGACAGGUGAGAGAGCACAGACAAAUUCAUAAAUAGAGUUCACACUUCUCAAGUCAGUCACAACACAAAAGACAGUCUCAACAUAAAAGUUUCAGUCUCAACACAAAAGGAGCACACUCACACAAUAAAAGGAACGCAGUAAGGAACAAAUCACAAUACAAAAGGAACAGAGUGCAGCACAACUUUAUAACUAAAACAUGACAUGAUGCCAUAGCCUCUUAUUCCCAUCUCCAUCUUCAGAUUCAACGUUUCUUCAUGAAGCUUCCCUUUUGCUUUGUUCUGCAAUGGUAACCACAUCAGAAUACGCUUCGAACCACUUCUCAGAACCAGCUUGGUGCCUUUCCAACCCUGUUUGUGAACAAAAUCAUUUAUAGUCAGUGUUGAACUACAAAAUGCCGGAGCUUGCCCUCCGCCGUAAUGAAUCUUUUGACCCAAAAACAAUUCAGAUUGUUCAACUUCUCAAUUUUUAGCUUUUAAUAUAUUCUAUAUGUAUACCAAGUAAGUAGCUUUGUAACAGUAUCAUAUUCUACUUUUAGAAUCAACUACAAUGGAAAUCAGUUGUUAUAGUGGUAUUUUGGAGGUUCUCUCACUGCACAGAUCUGUUGUUAUUGGAGGCAAUAUAUGUCACACUUGGAAAGCUUAGAGCCGAAUGCAAUAAUGAAGGACAAGAGCUCUUACAUGGCAUAGCCUAACGAAGAAGGCGCACAUCAGUGAAGUUCUCAUGCCACUUAAGAGUUACGAGUUCUCCCUCGUUAAACAAGGCCCUCUGGAGCUUAUAAAGCAUAUGAGGGUCGACAAGAUCAAACAUGUCUGAAAGUUGUUCCUCAUCGAACAUUUGCCUUUGAGAAACUUGUUGAGCUCCAACUGGCCCAGCCGCUGCAAUUGCUGCUCUUGCUGCUGCUCUUGCUGCAUUUCCUGCCGCCGUCACCGCCGCAUAUGAAGUAGGAUCUGGAUGGCUGGCUCUUGCAAGUGCUGCUGCUGUUGCUGCGGCAGCGGCCUCCACCAAUGAGCCAUUGUGCUUUCGUAAUGCUUUUAUGAUGGAUGAUGCUAUAUAUUUAGCAUGCCAGAUGUGGAAAGGCUCCAGGAGCUCUCGGGCACAUCUUGCUGGUAUAGGCUGGGGCACUCCACCCAAUGCCGCUGCUAUAGAUUGCACGCUGUGUGCUGCUGCUUGAUGAGCUGCUUUCAAUGCUUCAUGUACCCCCCCAAUAUCAAAUGAAUAGUCCUUAAUCAGGUGAGCACCUCCAUUCCUCCGAAAAACCAAUAAUCCCUCAACAGUUGGAAGAUAACGGACUCUACCGCUGAGAAAAUCAGAAAUUCUGUCAGUGAAACUCUUGGAGGGUUGUUUGAAACGCAGGAGCUCAUGAAGAUGUACAUUCUUCAUUGAGCUAUGGAUCCAAUUGCUCAAUGUGAUGCUUCGAAGAAUCCUUGUGUACAUCCUGUAGUCUUUGCCCUUGAUCACUAUAAGCCGAUCAAAUAAUUUGGUGAAGAGGGUGCAUUUUCUAGUUCCAUUCUCACGCGCCACAUGAAUCUGGAGAAGUGGAUAAAGAGUGUUGUUGAAGUUCUUCAGCACCGAGAGAAGAUCUGCAACAUCAGCAGGUACAGGACCAUAUACAGCUACGCAAAAAAUGUUGUUCUCAGCCACAUCCGCAACCGCAUACAUGUCCCUUGAUGUUGUCAGAGCAUCUGCCGGCACCAGUUUGUCCAGAAGGUUCUUUGUGCCUUUAAGAAAACCAGAGUGAGUAACUCCCAAAUCAUCAGGAUGGAGAUUACCAUCAACUGAGAAACCAAAGUGAACAAGUAGAGUUGUCCAGUCUAAAAUGGCAUUGAACAUAUUUCUCGCGUGGUCAGAUGACUUUUUGUGCAUCCUUUGAUCACCUGGUAUAGCCACUUGGACAAUCGGAUCCCUUGACUGAAUAUAUGCCACCAUGGACUGGCGCAAUUGUGUCAUUUCAUUAGAGAAAAACAGAUCGAGUACAGGUACCUACAAAAGUUCAAUCAAAUGAAAUCUUAGUCAAAUAAUUCAAUGCCAAAUAAAAGUUAUUAUCUCAACCACAUGAGCAUCAACAGGCAUUACUUAAGGUAAUUCUCAAUCACAUGUUCAAUCAAAUGAAAUCUUAGUCAAAUAAUUCAUAUGCCAAAUAAAAGUUAUUAUCUCAACCACAUGUUAUUAUCUCAACCACAUGCUAUUAUAAUCUUAGACAAACUACACCUAUAUGUUAUUAUCUCAACCACAUGAGCAUCAACAGGCAUUACUUAAGGUAAUUCUAAUCUCCAAGACCAAAAACAGUAGCCAACACAAAUAAUAUUUUCAGAGGUUCUUAAACACAAAACACUUGAACAAAACAACAUUUCAUCACUUACCGGAAUCUGAUGACCAAGUGCAUUAAUGAUUGGAGAAUGACACUGAAAAAAAAACAUGUGUCAAAGGAGUUACUUUUGUCUUUGAUCGGAAUCAUCGGAUCUACAUGAGUGAAAUGAUUCGUUUACCUGUUCUUGCCGUUGCUCCCGCAGCUUCUGACGCAUGUUGCGGAGACGCUGGCGUAGUUGCCGCAGCAUCCGCCGUGCGAGCAACCCAGAUUGGCUAAGCAGGAUCUGCUCACCCCGGCGCCUCUUGCGGCUACACCGCUGUCGUGCGUGCAGCAGCACCUCCUUCAUAGAGUCGGCAAGCACACGGGCCGUGACCUUCGCACCGGCAUGCCUGCGGGCCCGACGCGGCGCCAUCUCCAAGACGCGGGGCGAGGAAGAGGCAAUGCGGAGCUGAGGAGCGGGAGAAGCCUACGGCGACGGAGAGGACGCGGGCGAGCGGCGAAGGAGGGGACGCGGGCGGGUGGCGACGGCGAAGGAGGGGACGCGAGCGGACGGCGAAGGAGGGGACGCGGGCGGACGGCGACGGAGGGCAAGAGAGAAGCGGGAGGCUAGGGUUUUGGGACUUGGACUUGGGGACUUGGGGUAUGUGCGUGCGGCGUGCCAGCGCACGCGUGGGCUGUGCCUGCGCUAUCGGCUUGUGGGCUGGUUGGGCAGCCCAAGAAACGGAAAUACCAAAAGCAAUUGUUAACGGAGCCCAUCAGAUCCCCUUCACUGUCCCCUUCUUUCGAAAGUUGAAGCAAUUGUGCAAACAACCAUAGAACUCAAGGUACUUAAUUCUCGAGUCAAACUGGCUGCUACAUGCAUGUUUAGCAACACCAGAAAACUCAGAAAAAAUAUUAAAAAGCAUUCGUUCAUAAUUUGUGCCGAGAAAUCUCCACAAACCAUGACUACAGAUUUAAGAGCACAAAUUAGUAAGAUUGGCUGCUAAAGGCCUUGUCUUAGCUAGACUAUUGUACAGUUCCGAAAUAGUACUACAUCCGUUUCAAAUUGCAGAUUGGAUCGUUUUAGCUUCUUAUCUUAUCAGGAGCAUCCACCUGUAGUGUAGCUUCACACGCGAGCCGUAAGGCACACCACAGUGGAUGGAGAACAUACACCUGCCUCUUGAUCCAUGCAAUAUACGCCAAAGUUUUCUCCUAGUGGCUAUACUAGUAACCAAGUAAUAACACAUCGUCAUGGUCGCCAAGUUUAGCUAGCUAGGAAUGCACAUUCCCUCAUCCAGAGGGCUAGGUUUCCCCAACCAAAUCCAAUCCAACAGCUAGCAACAAUUCCUAGCAACUAGUGGUUGUAUUGUAAAUGAGCAAGUCAAUGGCGAAUUGGUGAUGCUAUCAUUGCCUUGCUCUCGACCAAGAUGAAAACAAGCUCGUCCUAGUGCAACUAGUGGCUCAGGGUGAGUCUCAUUCGGCUUUAUUUUACUCCCUUUCAACUUUUCAAUCGCGAGAAGGAAAGGAAAGAAAAUCACCGUAUAUUCGCGGGACUUUUUAAAUAGCAAUUUUUGUGUGGCUUUUAUAGAAUUUCCAAAAAAAAGUUGUGGAAAUAUAUAUAAUCACUUAUAUUUAGCUCUAUGGUAGCUAGCGCUAGCACGAUUGAAUAAUAUUUUAACAUAUUUUAAUUAGAAUACAUUAAUUUGUGAGAACCUUUUAAAACAAAAGCAUUUAUUUCAUCUAUUACUUGUCAAAAUGCGAUCGAGAAGCAUAGUUUAAUUUGGCGCCGUGAAUUUUCCAUGUGCGUCCUGCAACAACACAUCAUUUUGAUGUACACAUAUGUGGAGCCAAGCCAUGUACUGCCAUGUUAAGUAAGGGAUGAAGAAAUAAUGCGCGAUAAUCUUAUCAAUUAAUUGAUAAGUUGAUGAUAAUCAAACGGGUUACGCAAAAACUGAAUGUAAAACAAGGGAAAAUGAGUGAACAUGAUGUGAAACCAAGUCAUCCCAAACCGCCCAAUGCGUGUACGGCCCCCCAAAAAGGAAUACGACUUGUGUGUAAACUAAUAUAAAUCAUGAAGCGUGCUUUUAAUUUUUGCAAUUUUUUUUGUUAAGCACUUGCCUCGGCAUCAAAGAGCACAGGUUGCUUAAUACAAUCUCUUUUUUCAAGAGCAUACAUGUUAUAUUCCUCUUUGGGCUUUUUGCCCUAUAGCAUAAUAUACAUGUGUGGCUAUCAGCUUUCAUCCCAAUGGAACGAAGUGGUCGUCGUCGUCUGUCCUGGAUCGGGAGCUCUUGUUCGCUUUGCUGUCGUCCCUGCACCUCCGUGUCUAGGAUCGGGACAUUAUCGUCAAGCUUCUGCAACUUGGAACCUACAACCAGGCACUGAAGCAGAACCAUGAGCCUGCGAGAAGAAGCAUAGGUUUCUUUCUCUGGAGCAUUACAGUAUGAUGGUUCAGCUGCUGAAAGAUGAUUGGUGAAGUGAAGUCCGAUCAAUGGCUCUCCACCUGAACACAAUUUUAACAUCGCCAUCUCGAUCCAACAUGCUUAAAAAAAGAACAAGAGCAAGCCUGAUGAUUCGCUCACCUACUUGCAACUCCCCAGUUUCCCAGAGGCCAGCCAGACUGCCAUGUCUGUCUGUUUGUCCUCCUCGAUCAGCUCCUGCGAUGCAAGCAGCCGUAUCGGCAAUAAAAAUCUCCAUGUGCAGCAAAUUGGAGCAUGGACCUUCCUUGAAUGAUUCUUGCCCUCUUGGAACCUUCCUAAUAUUUUUUCUUAAUAAUUAAUAGAUCCGGUUAGGAGUAUCUUAGUUACCUUACCUCGUCGUCAUGCGAUGCAUCAACAAACCAAAAUUUUGCAUCUGUCUGCUUCACCCCUUUGUUCUUCUCCUCCAUGGGAGGACCUCUCUCUCUCCUCUCUCUUCUCUGCUGCCUCACAUUUCUCCUCCAAGGUGACCAAUAAGCUUCACAUUGGUGCAAAAUCGAGCUUGCAUUAAUUUGUAAUUUUGCAUAGCACUAGCAUAUACUGUUGAGUUCAUCUGCAUAACAUCCAAUUUGUUUCAUUCUCAUGCCAAAUCAAUUGAUCCCUUUUUUUCUGUGCCGUUGAUCAAUCUUUUCUCGUCUUCUCAAAAUUUGUGUUAAAAAUGUGUUUAGUGUAUAAUACAUGUUUCGGAGUUGCUGCUGCUUACUUUUGGGAUUCAGUCAUUCAGAGCUAGUGUGUUGUUGCUGUUAACCAAUGCACGGUGUGCUGUAAUCACCAGGAGCAGCGCCCGCGACGUUCACCAUAACCAACAGCUGCGAGUACACGGUGUGGCCAGGCAUCCUCUCCAACGCCGGCGCCCCGCCGCCGUCCACGACCGGCUUCGCGCUGCCCCCGGGCCAGACGCUCGCGGCCACCGUCGCCUCCGCGUGGUCCGGCCGCAUCUGGGGCCGAACGCUCUGCGCCACGGACUCCUCCUCCGGCGCCUUCGCCUGCGCCACCGCCGACUGCGGCUCGGGCGCCGUCGAGUGCUCCGGCCGCGGCGCCGCGCCGCCGGCCACCCUGGCCGAGUUCACUCUCGCCGGCGGCACCGGCGGGGACGACUUCUACGACGUCAGCCUCGUCGACGGCUUCAACGUGCCCAUGCUCGUCGCCCCGCAGGCGCCGGCGGCGGCCAACGGGAGCUGCCAGGCCACGGGGUGCCCCGCGGACCUGAACAGGGCGUGCCCCGCUGAGCUACGCGUCGCCGGCGGCGCGGGGGCGCAGACGGUGGCGUGCCGGAGCGCGUGCGAGGCGUUCGCCGAGGCCGUGUACUGCUGCAGCGGCGCGUACGGGUCCCCGGCGGCGUGCGCGCCGACGGCGUACUCGCGGCUCUUCAAGGCCGCGUGCCCGGCCGCCUACAGCUACGCGUACGACGACGCGACGUCGACGUUCACCUGCGCCGCGGCCGGCGGCGGCUACGACGUCGUCUUCUGCCCCGGCACGUCCAGGUAAGCACGGCGCGGCGGGCUGGUUUUCUUCGCACGUCUGUGCAUGCACGUAUUUUUUUUUCCUUCCCGGUUCGUACGGGCUCGGCACGUUCCGUUUCUUGCUCGGUUUGGGGUUGGGCGAUCGGCACGUCGUUGCCACGUCCAUUUGGCCUUGUCACUAGUUUGUAUGCGAGAUGCUAUGAUUCAACAAUGCGUGAUGUUAUUUUGUACUUUGUUUGUCGGGCCUUCCUCCUCUUUAUUAAUAUAGCAGCAGCUAUUCUGCUAGCUCGUUUAAAAAAAAACAAUGCGCGAUGUUACCCUGUUCAUCUAAUUGGUGUUUGAAGAAGGAUGAGAGGGCCGGCAUGGGUUUAGAGACGCCAUUAGCCUCGUAUGAUCCUGAUGCUAGGGAGAAAUUGUUCGUCCUAGUUUAGCUGCAGCAAUCGUUUCAGUUUUCAUUUGAUUAUCACAGUAUUCGUUAGCUGAUGCUUGGAAGAACCUGAUCGAUGAUGCAGCCUGAAACCCGGCGGGAAUCCCGAGGCGGCGGCAGGCCCAACGAUGCAGUUCUCCGGAGCAGCAGCAGCAGGCGGCUUGGUGAAGAGCAGGAACGCCGUGGUAGUUGCCCUCCUCGUGCUCAUCGUUUCGGCGACAUCGGUGUGAUUAUGCUGCUGGUCUCAUUAUCCUAGCGUGAUUCGGAGUCUCCAAGAGAGGACAAGUGACAGCUUCAUGCGCUCGCACACUAUUUUCUUCGGAAGAAGAAACGGGAUUAUAGUUGUAGCUUUCAGAGCUUAUUGUUUUUUUAUUUGAUGUUUAUCAGAGAACCGAUUCCUUGGGGGAGAGAAUUUUAACCCACUAAUUAGACUGAACUAAAGUCUGUAUGAUCCGGCAGUCAAUCGGUCCCUGCUCCCGCACUAGAAGACACGAAGCACACGGGCUAUUCUGGAAGAUGUUAACCCACUAAUUAGACUGAACUAAAGUUUGUAUAGGUACAAACACAGGCAGACAAAAAUCCCGUAUCACGUUGCAUGGGAAAAAUGGGCGUCCCUGAGAACCAACACGUUUUCCUAACACCAGGCAGCUAACAACAGACUUUAAGCAACACUUCCGAGCACAGCCUACAGCUCGUCCUUGUCGUAUGACGGCUCCGACUCCUCCUCCUUGGUCGGCUCCUUCUCUUCCACCUCCGGCUGCUCCUCGGCCUCGUCCUCCUCCUCCACGGUCGCGUCGGGGCUCAGGUCCAGGCUCUUCUGCACCGACUUGUAGAUGCUGGACGCGAACUCCUUGGGGUCGGGGAGGUUGAACCCGCUCUCCAUCAGGGCGGUCUGGUACACCAGCCUCGCCGUCUGCUUCAAGCCCUCGCUCUGUUGCCAUCAGGUAAAACACGUUAGCCACCAUGGUUUUCCUGACAUUCUUUGGGGAUCAGCAAAAGGCCUUUGGAAGGAGAUUAUGUUACCUCGGUGUCCUGGGCGACCUUGUCGCGGAGCUCCUUGAUGAUGGGGUGCCUGGGGUUGAUCUCCAGCACCCUCUUGCCGCGCAUGUACGCCUGCUUGCUCGAGUCGGAGAGGGUCUGCGCCUGCAUGAUCUUCUCCAUGUUGGCGCUCCACCCGUACUUGGAGGUGACGACGACGCAGGGGGUGUCGUGCAGCCGGUUGCUGAUCUUCACCGAGUCCACGUUCUCGCUCUCCAGGGCCUUCUUCCACCAGUCGGUCAGCUCCUUGAAAGACUCCUUGAGGUCCUUGAGCUUGGAGUCCUUGCCCAGCUUCAGGCCCUCCUUGGAAACGUUCUGGAACUUCUUGUCCUCGUAGUCCAUCAGGUAUUGCAUCAGGUACUCGUCCACUGGG